rnacentral:rRNA from 1 species
UACGUAGGGGGCAAGCGUUGUCCGGAAUCAUUGGGCGUAAAGAGCGCGUAGGCGGCCCUGUAAGUCCGCUGUGAAAGUCAAGGGCUCAACCCUUGAAUGCCGGUGGAUACUGCAGGGCUAGAGUCCGGAAGAGGCGAGUGGAAUUCCUGGUGUAGCGGUGAAAUGCGCAGAUAUCAGGAGGAACACCGGUGGCGAAGGCGGUUCUCUGGGCCUGUACUGACGCUGAGGAGCGAAAGCGUGGGGAGCGAACAGG